rnacentral:rRNA from 1 species
GAUGAACGCUGGCGGCGUGCUUAACACAUGCAAGUCGAACGGUGAAGGCGGAGCUUGCUCUGCUGGAUCAGUGGCGAACGGGUGAGUAACACGUGAGCAAUCUGCCCCUGACUCUGGGAUAAGCGCUGGAAACGGCGUCUAAUACUGGAUACGAGCUGCGAAGGCAUCUUCAGCAGCUGGAAAGAACUUCGGUCAGGGAUGAGCUCGCGGCCUAUCAGCUUGUUGGUGAGGUAACGGCUCACCAAGGCGUCGACGGGUGGCCGGCCUGAGAGGGUGACCGGCCACACUGGGACUGAGGCACGGCCCAGACUCCUACGGGAGGCAGCAGUGGGGAAUAUUGCACAAUGGGCGAAAGCCUGAUGCAGCAACGCCGCGUGAGGGACGACGGCCUUCGGGUUGUAAACCUCUUUUAGCAGGGAAGAAGCGAAAGUGACGGUACCUGCAGAAAAAGCGCCGGCUAACUACGUG